CCUACGGGCGGCUGCAGUGGGGAAUAUUGCACAAUGGGCGCAAGCCUGAUGCAGCCAUGCCGCGUGUGUGAAGAAGGCCUUCGGGUUGUAAAGCACUUUCAGCGGGGAGGAAGGCGGUGAGGUUAAUAACCUCAUCGAUUGACGUUACCCGCAGAAGAAGCACCGGCUAACUCCGUGCCAGCAGCCGCGGUAAUACGGAGGGUGCAAGCGUUAAUCGGAAUUACUGGGCGUAAAGCGCACGCAGGCGGUCUGUCAAGUCGGAUGUGAAAUCCCCGGGCUCAACCUGGGAACUGCAUUCGAAACUGGCAGGCUAGAGUCUUGUAGAGGGGUGUAGAAUUCCAGGUGUAGCGGUGAAAUGCGUAGAGAUCUGGAGGAAUACCGGUGGCGAAGGCGGCCCCCUGGACAAAGACUGACGCUCAGGUGCGAAAGCGUGGGGAGCAAACAGGAUUAGAUACCCUAGUAGUC
rnacentral:rRNA from 1 species